AGUCCAUUAUGUGGGAAAUUUCUCACGGAUCUUUUAAACCAUGCACAUGCAUCACUCAAGGUUUCAUUCUCCUUUUGCUGAAAAUUUGAGAUUUCCCUUACUCUCGUU